rnacentral:tRNA from 1 species
UGGUACAUGGCUCAGUGGUUAGAGCAUUGGGCUUGCAAUCAUAAAGUUGUAAGUUUGAUUCCUGGACCAG